CGAGCUUGCCUAGAUGAAUUUGGUGCUUGCACCAGAUGAAACUAGAUACAAGCGAGCGGCGGACGGGUGAGUAACACGUGGGUAACCUGCCCAAGAGACUGGGAUAACACCUGGAAACAGAUGCUAAUACCGGAUAACAACACUAGACGCAUGUCUAGAGUUUAAAAGAUGGUUCUGCUAUCACUCUUGGAUGGACCUGCGGUGCAUUAGCUAGUUGGUAAGGUAACGGCUUACCAAGGCAAUGAUGCAUAGCCGAGUUGAGAGACUGAUCGGCCACAUUGGGACUGAGACACGGCCCAAACUCCUACGGGAGGCAGCAGUAGGGAAUCUUCCACAAUGGACGCAAGUCUGAUGGAGCAACGCCGCGUGAGUGAAGAAGGGUUUCGGCUCGUAAAGCUCUGUUGGUAGUGAAGAAAGAUAGAGGUAGUAACUGGCCUUUAUUUGACGGUAAUUACUUAGAAAGUCACGGCUAACUACGUGCCAGCAGCCGCGGUAAUACGUAGGUGGCAAGCGUUGUCCGGAUUUAUUGGGCGUAAAGCGAGUGCAGGCGGUUCAAUAAGUCUGAUGUGAAAGCCUUCGGCUCAACCGGAGAAUUGCAUCAGAAACUGUUGAACUUGAGUGCAGAAGAGGAGAGUGGAACUCCAUGUGUAGCGGUGGAAUGCGUAGAUAUAUGGAAGAACACCAGUGGCGAAGGCGGCUCUCUGGUCUGCAACUGACGCUGAGGCUCGAAAGCAUGGGUAGCGAACAGGAUUAGAUACCCUGGUAGUCCAUGCCGUANACGAUGAGUGCUAAGUGUUGGGAGGUUUCCGCCUCUCAGUGCUGCAGCUAACGCAUUAAGCACUCCGCCU
rnacentral:rRNA from 1 species